GUGCUAGCUUUGGCAGCACACACACUAAAAUUGGAACAAUACAGAGAAGAUUAGCAUGGCCUCUGCACAAGGAGGACACACAAAUUCACGAACUGUUCCAUAUUUUU